rnacentral:rRNA from 1 species
GUGGGGAAUAUUGCACAAUGGGGGAAACCCUGAUGCAGCCAUGCCGCGUGUAUGAAGAAGGCCUUCGGGUUGUAAAGUACUUUCAGUCAGGAGGAAGGGCGAGUGGUUAAUAACCGCACGCAUUGACGUUACUGACAGAAGAAGCACCGGCUAACUCCGUGCCAGCAGCCGCGGUAAUACGGAGGGUGCAAGCGUUAAUCGGAAUUACUGGGCGUAAAGCGCACGCAGGCGGUCUGUUAAGUCAGAUGUGAAAUCCCCGGGCUCAACCCGGGAACUGCAUUUGAAACUGGCAGGCUUGAGUCUCGUAGAGGGGGGUGGAAUUCCAGGUGUAGCGGUGAAAUGCGUAGAGAUCUGGAGGAAUACCGGUGGCGAAGGCGGCCCCCUGGACGAAGACUGACGCUCAGGUGCGAAAGCGUGGGGAGCAAACAGGAUUAGAUACCCGUGUAGUCC